rnacentral:misc_RNA from 1 species
GAUGAAGAACGUAGUGAAAUGCGAUACGUAGUGUGAAUUGCAGAAUUCAGUGAAUCAUCGAAUCUUUGAACGCACAUUGCACCUCUCGGUAUUCCGGGAGGUAUGCCUGUUCGAGCGUCAUUUGUACCCUCAAGCUCUGCUUGGUGUUGGGUGUUUGUUCCGCCUCUGUGUGUGAACUCGCCUCAAAACAAUUGGCAGCCGGCGUACUUGUUUCGGAGCGCAGCACAUUUUGCGAUCCAGAUCAACGUACAGCGGCAUCCAAGAAGCCUUAUUUAACGCUCUUGACCUCGGAUCAGGUAGGGAUACCCGCUGAACUUAAGCAUACAAUAAGCGGAGGA